ACAGCAGCAGCCGCGGGAAUACAGAGGGUGCGAGCGUUAAUCGGAUUUACUGGGCGUAAAGCGUGCGUAGGCGGCUUUUUAAGUCGGAUGUGAAAUCCCUGAGCUUAACUUAGGAAUUGCAUUCGAUACUGGGAAGCUAGAGUAUGGGAGAGGAUGGUAGAAUUCCAGGUGUAGCGGUGAAAUGCGUAGAGAUCUGGAGGAAUACCGAUGGCGAAGGCAGCCAUCUGGCCUAAUACUGACGCUGAGGUACGAAAGCAUGGGGAGCAAACAGGAUUAGAGACCCCGGUAGUCCCUGUCUCUUAUAC
rnacentral:rRNA from 1 species